rnacentral:misc_RNA from 1 species
GAUGAAGAACGUAGCGAAAUGCGAUAACUAGUGUGAAUUGCAGAUUUCAGUGAAUCAUCGAGUCUUUGAACGCACAUUGCGCCCGCCAGUAUUCUGGCGGGCAUGCCUGUCUGAGCGUCAUUUCAACCCUCAAGCAACUUCUGCUUGGUGUUGGGGAUCGGCCGUUAAACGCCGCCCCCGAAAUCUAUUGGCGAUCUCGCUGUAGCUUCCUAUGCGUAGUAGUAACAUCUCGCAUCUGGAGAGCGGCGCGGUCAUGCCGUAAAACACCCAACUUCUCAGGUUGACCUCAGAUCAGGUAGGAAUACCCGCUGAACUUAAGCAUAUCAAUAAGCGGAGGA